rnacentral:rRNA from 1 species
UACGUAGGGUGCGAGCGUUAAUCGGAAUUACUGGGCGUAAAGCGUGCGCAGGCGGUUUUGUAAGCCCGAUGUGAAAUCCCCGGGCUUAACCUGGGAAUGGCAUUUGGGACUGCAAGGCUGGAGUGCGGCAGAGGAGACUGGAAUUCCUGGUGUAGCAGUGAAAUGCGUAGAUAUCAGGAGGAACACCGAUGGCGAAGGCAGGUCUCUGGGCUGACACUGACGCUCAUGCACGAAAGCGUGGGGAGCAAACAGG